GAUGAACGCUGGCGGCGUGCCUAAUACAUGCAAGUCGAGCGAACGGACGAGAAGCUUGCUUCUCUGAUGUUAGCGGCGGACGGGUGAGUAACACGUGGAUAACCUACCUAUAAGACUGGGAUAACUUCGGGAAACCGGAGCUAAUACCGGAUAAUAUUUUGAACCGCAUGGUUCAAAAGUGAAAGACGGUCUUUCUGUCACUUAUAGAUGGAUCCGCGCUGCAUUAGCUAGUUGGUAAGGUAACGGCUUACCAAGGCAACGAUGCAUAGCCGACCUGAGAGGGUGAUCGGCCACACUGGAACUGAGACACGGUCCAGACUCCUACGGGAGGCAGCAGUAGGGAAUCUGCCGCAAUGGGCGAAAGCCUGACGGAGCAACGCCGCGUGAGUGAUGAAGGUCUGCGGAUCGUAAAACUCUGUUAUUAGGGAAGAACAUAUGUGUAAGUAACUGUGCACAUCUUGACGGUACCUAAUCAGAAAGCCACGGCUAACUACGG
rnacentral:rRNA from 1 species